rnacentral:lncRNA from 1 species
GGUGAAACAGGGGAUUGAAUGGUCCCUUCCUCAUUUGGUUGGCCGACCAGCGGUCGGUCGGCACGGGGAUGGCCGACAGCAGGAGGAGGAUGACCUGCCGUCCGAAGAAACCCAAAUCGAUGAUCGACGACGACCACCAACAUUCGAAAACCAGAAAAACUGAAACCUCUCCCACGAUAAAAUCCGACAACUCCAAUCACCGACGAACGUGCACACCGGCAUGAAAAGAAAGGGAGAG